AAAAAAAGAGUAUGAAGUAAAAAACAAAAUUGUUUCUGUUGUACUUCAUGCCAAUUAAAAAUGUUAUUUCUAGUAGCUACAAUAUUAGGCAUGGCUUGUCUAUACUCAAGAAUUUUUAGAUAUUUAUGAUAACUCAACAUAUCUUUGGAAGCUAAGGUUCUCCAUACAGUGGUUACGCUGUCCUUAUUACCUAGCCCUAAACACCCAGAGGAAAAGGCCUGAGCCCCAAAGAGAUGAAACCCAUUACCGUGGCAGCAAAAACGUGACAACAGCGGGUUUGCAGGGAAGAUGAGUCACACCAGUGCACACUCACGUCACCGUGCUGCCUGCGCAGUGAGCACAGCACUGACGGUGAGCCGAGGCCCUGAACAAGCCUCAGAUCCCUUGUAACAGGAAACAAGGCAAGGUCAGGGAAGACAUCGGGACGGCCUUUUGCUUAAAUAAUACGUAUGUACAGCUCCGCCAUCUACUGAAAAUAAUUCAGUGCAUAGAUUCCUUUAAAUUAGCAACUUUUGCUUUUACCUUGAAAAAACAGAACACUGCACACGUGAAAAGGUCUAGGCUCACGCUGCUCCUGUCUCCGUGGGAUCUACAGCCUGCAGUCCAAGGCUCAACGACAACACAAAGCUCCUCUGUGCUUUCACGGAGCUGGGGCGGCAACGACUACUCAGAGUCCAGCCCAGCGCUCCACCUCCCACCUAAGCGCGUGUCCACCGCACGCUCACCCUACCGCCCUUCUCCACACUGAGCCUGUGACACAGAACAUGCCGGGGUCAAGGAAACCUCCUUCCCCUUGUACAGACGCGGCGCUCAGGCUGACUGAAUCGAUCCCUAACAUAACCACAAGCCAGUAACCGCCUUCUACCUGGCAACACGCAGAACACCGGGAGAAAUACAAACUACGUGGCACACGGAAAGCGCUCAAGUACCCGAGAGACGAGUUCACCUCGUGAAUGCAGCGCAAGGCACUGGUCCUCUGCAGGUCAGCCUCAGCACCGUGUGAGCGCAAGAGCCUCACAGAGCUCCUCGCUCGGGGGUCAGACUAGGGAGCAGCCGCCGCAUCUCGAGCCCCAGGCCCUCAUCCUGUCUCCACCUGAGAAGCAGCUUUACCUCAGGGCAGGGGUGGUGAACCUGUGACGUGGGUGCUACUAGUUUUUCUUUUAGGACAAAAGAUGUUAAUUAAUGUCUGAGUUGUUUUUGCUAAACUAGUCAGUUUCCAGGUGCCUUUUGCUAAGUAAGUGGGUUGGGCUGCAGUUUGGUGCUGGUCUCUAAAGGUGAGCGGUCCCUCUGUGCGGUUUGCCAUUACCUACACAAGCUUCACUGAUAAAACAGAUGAGGUGUGACGUAAAAUGCACCAAGGGUUAAGAAGGCGGUGGGCAGGCCAAGUGCUGUGAUCAGUAAGUACAGCAUUCCACAGGACAGAGGCAGUCAGGAAAGCUUUCUGCAGGAGAUACAAACCUGCUUUUCAAGAUACACAGAGCUCAGCCGGGAGGGGUGGCGCACACCUGUGAGCCCAGGGAGAAGGCUGAGGCAGGAGGAUCAAAUGUGCAGUGCCAGCUGGGCUAGGUAGUGAGUUUAAGGCCAGCCUGAACUUCAGGUUAAUGAGACAUUAGGAACAAAGGUAUAGAGAAAAAGAAAUCCACAUGACGUAAUCACAGAAGUCUGAAGAGGUUUUUGAAAACCAAAGGAAAUGUUUAAGAAUUAAAGCACUAGCAAACAAAAACAUUUUAGGGAAAAAAAGUUCAUAAAAUCAAGUAACUGGUAUCUUUAAACUUGUAAAAAAAAAUAAAUAAAUAAAAAUUAAAAAAUAAAAAAUAAAAAGAGCACAAGUAACCACUAACUGCACAUGUUCUAUGUUCUAGGAUCUGGCAUUCCUCUGUAUACCAGUCUAGCAAGAAACGUUGCUUCUCCACUGCAAAGACCUGGAAGGCAAAAGCUCCUGGCACCUGUGGCUGACCAGCAAACAAGGCGGGAGCGCGUGAGAGCGUGAGUGAGGCACCCUGAGCAGACUUACUAGUAACACACAAGCACCCCGGGUUGCCCAGACGAGGGACAGCAGUAGUAUCGUUCUCCGGAUAGACGAAGUCUCCUUGGGACAUUCAAAAUGACUAACAUUCUUAUGAAGGGAAAAACGCAAAGACAUUUGAAAAUUGUAGGAUUUUUUACGAAGUCACAAUGUUUUUCCAACUUAUGGGCAACUUCACUUACUAGAGAAGACCACUGUACAAGGUAAGAAUGGAGGAGCAGACCUAAUGCAAGACACACCACGGGGUAACCAGAACACCAAACUAGAGGUGCUCAAAAAGCAGACCCAAAGCCCAGCACAGGCAUUAAUUUUACUGGGUCCCUGAGCAAAAACUUCCUAAAGUUAUCUACUUUCAAGGGGAGCUCAACUAAAUGCUCCCUUCUCGCCAGGCCUGGCCCGAGUGAACGGUGCACAUGCAGGCUCUGUGGUGUGACGAGGGGGCGGUUCAGAGCGAGGAAGGAGCACAGUGGUGGGUGGAGGGACACUCGCUGACUUCCCGGUGAGCACACAAGCACCCAGUCACUGCGACAUGCACAGCAAGGGUGCAAAGGACAACAGAUGGGGUGGGACACACACAGCGUGUGAGGGGCAGCACUCCGUGAGCAACACCUCCAACCACCACAGCACCUUCCACAGGACAGAGAACAUCCAUGAAAAUAAACGCCAGCUACAGCGAACAUGGACCUGCUGACACCUGCAGCACACGAGACUGCCGCAGGCCCAGUCAGCAUCACGUUCGCUUUCUGGCUGGUCAUUUGUGAUGUACUUCCUUCUCAGCCAAAAAACCUCCUGGCAUAGCUAUCAUUUUUGAUUUGAUGAAACAAGGUCUCCCUAUGCAGUUCAGGCUGGCCUUGAACUCACUAUGUAAUCCAGGCUGGCCUUAAACUCGCAGCAAUCCUCCUGCCUCAGCCUCCCAAGGGCUAGGAUUACCAGUAUGAGCCACCACGCUUGGAGGGUUUAGUUAUCUUUAAAAGGCAGAACAAGUUUAUCACUUUGAUCGUUAAACAGUAAUUUUCUUUUUCCAUUUUAAGGUCUUACAUUAAUCUGAGUUCUGUAUAUUAUGUACAAAAGUUAAAUGGAAUGGGCAGAUUAAAAAACUACCAAUAUUCUGCGUGAUGGCACCCUGUCCAGUAACGACUACACCAACUGUCUGUAGCUGUUCCCCAACCUUUGUCUCAGAUUUUAAAGGCCUGGACAGACUAUUUGUAGCUUUACGUCCCAUCCAACUGCAGCAGUCGUUUAUCGUACUUCUCGGUGGUGGAAGUUAAUGAAGCUGGCCGUAUGCUCUAAGUCCUAGCACUUAACCACAUAUUUCAAUGUACUGAAGUUAAAUUCAAGGACUCAGGAGGUCAAAGCAGUGGGCCUCGGCACCUUAACCUGAGUAACGA